ACCUACCUUUCAGUGAGGAAUACCGGCGAGAAAUCGCCGACAAGACCGCAUAGCCUCAGUGCAAGCUGAGGAAAGCUGCCUCGAAAGAGGGAGCGCCACACGAGGAGCCUGCGCCCGAUUAGCCUGUUGGGGGGGUAAUGGCCUCCCAAAGCUGCGAUCGGUCGCUGGUCUGAGAGGACGAUCAGCCACACUGGGAUUGAGAACGGCCCAG
rnacentral:rRNA from 1 species